AGAUGCUUUUAGCCUGAAAAGGAGAAUAGAAAUGCAUUUUCUCUAAACAUACAAGAGCACUCAUUUCCAGAGAGAUCCUGGACUGGAGGGACAGGAGCAUGACCCAGGCUGUUCAUCAUGAAUAGUGGGGCCCGCUGGGAGCAUGCUCCUCUCCUAAAAUGUGCAGAACCCACAACUCCUCCUCUCUGUCAGGCUGGCUGGGGCUUCCAGGGAGCUCAAGAUAAAAUCCGGAGGCAAAGAGACAGAAGAACUAAAAAUCAGAGUGACCACCAAUGCAGCUAUGAAUCAGGUGGCAACAGCCAUGUGGAAGAAGCCAAGUGAAGGGCUAUGGGGACCUAGAAGACAGAGUUGUCACACAAUGGAAGAAUUGCAGAUCUCUGAGUCACCAUUUGGACAAGAACCUACUAGGACAGGUGCCUGAACAAGAACACUGGACAUUGUGUGAGUGAGAAACAAACUUCUAUUGUGUUAAGCCACCGAGAUUUUGGGUUGAUUUUUAUAGUAGCUGGUGUUGCUUACACUGACUAAUACAUCUUGAAAGUAAAUGAUGCAAAAUAAUUCUACUUAUUCACAGGGGGUGGUAUUUAUAAGGGAAAAGAAUAAUAGGGUGGUGUCAAUGUUGGGUCCUGAUAAGUAAGCAACAACAAGGAAGGGGCCUCAGGUAGGGAAGAACAAUGUUCUGAGAGACUGUUCAUCACAAACAACCUGCUAGCCCCACAUCCUGUUCUCAAAUACUUUGCUCAGCAUGUAGCCCCAGCAGCAUGACUUGUCUGCAUGUAGACCCUCCAGCAUGACCCUAUAAAAUUUCCCUCCAGCCACUGCCUCUUGGCAGACAGUCCCUUCUCUGCUGUGCUGCCCACUGCUUUCUUACAACAUUUUCUUUGUACUUUCUCUAAUAAAUCUGCCUUUCUUUACCCACAA
rnacentral:lncRNA from 1 species